rnacentral:lncRNA from 1 species
UUUAGAUUCUUUUCCAUUAUUUAUUACAAAAUAUUGAAUACGAUUCCCUGUACUAUACAGGAGGACCUUGUUGUAUAUCUAUUUUUACAUACUGCAUUUUGUAUCUGCUAAUCUCAAACUUCUAAUUUAUUCCCCUCCCUUCCUUUCCCCAUUGGUAACCAUAAGUUGUUUUCUAUGUCUGUGAGUCUAUUUUGUUUUGUAAAUAAGUUCAUUUGUACCAUGUUUUUAGAUUCCGCAUAUAAAUGAUAUCAUAUUUUUCUUUCUCUGACUUACUUCACUUAAUGUGAUAAUUUCUAGGUCCAUCUAUGAUGCUGCAAAUGGCAUUAUUUCCUUCUUUUUAGUGGCUGAGUAAUAUUCCAUUGUGUAAAUAUAGCAUAUCUUUAGCCAUACAUCUAUCAAUGGACACUUAUGUUGCAUCCAUGUCUUGGCUAUUGUAAAAAGUGCUGCUAUGAUCAUUGGGAUGCAUGUUUGUUUUUGAAUUAGAGUUUUCUCCAGAUAUAUGAUCAGGAGUAGGAUAGCUGGAUCAUAUGAUAAACUUUAUUUUUAGUUUUAAGGAAUCUUGGUGCUAUUUUCCAUAAUGGCUGCACCAAUUUACAUUCCUACUAAGAAUAUAGAAGGGUUCCCUUUUCUCCACACCCUCUCCAGCAUUUAUUUGCAGGCUUUUUGAUGAUAACUCCACCACCUGAGGCUGCUCUUACUCCCAAGUUCCCUCUCUCAGCUCUGCCUGAAAAUAGACCCAACUGAAACGCCAAAAGAUCCUACCAAGUAGUCUAAUGCUAGCAAGCCCCUGAAUCCUGCCACAUCAAGUCCACUACAAACUGCAGUCACUUGUUCUAGCCAAAUUAUUAUUUCAGAGAAAACUUCUAUUUGUUUUGAUAAUUGUUUCUGUUCUUUGGAAAAAAACAGUUCAAAAGUAGAGUCAGGUGCUACUUUAGGUACAUGAAACAAAUAUUCUAUUUAUUCUAUUUCUGUUCCAUAAUUUUAUGGGUAGAUGGUUGCUACUAUUCAUUCUGGUUGCUUUAGAUACCAUGUCUGUCUUACAUACUCUAACCAGCAUUAGUCCAUGCUCACAUGAGCAUUUAAUAAAGAAGAACCUUAUGGCUACAAGCCUCAUAGUUACCUCAAAUUAAAUACUACAGAGGAGGAAUCACUUUCUCUGAAAUGUAACCAUUAACUAAAAGAAAAAAAAGCCUGGUGUGGUGUGAGUCAUCUAUAAAGCAGGUGAUUUACAAUCCUGCAGUGUGAAGUAGGUGGCCACCUAUAAAGAAAGACUUCAGGGGUUCUCUCUCCAUCCCGAUCAAUGAAAUGUUCCUCCUAUGAGACAAAACUCAACAUUCUACAGUUAAAGUCUGAAAUGCAAAUACACCCAAGUAAGUUGUUUUAAAACUUUAGUCAUUCACAUACUCCUUUCAUGAUUCUUAUAAUAUCUGUGAACAAAUGUUCUAUCAUUAAUACAGUAUUUUCCUCUUAACACAAUUUUGCCAAGAUCAGUUAAUUUUUUGAAAGACCACUUAUAUAAUUACUUUAAAUAUACAAUACCUCUUGUAUAUAGCCAAUAUCACUUGCCAUAAAUAGAAGGAAGCCUAAAAAAAUGAAUGUGACUAACAAAAAUGUGUCCACUUAUAUAUUACAUAAAAUCAUCUCAUGUACCACAUGAAAUAGUGUAAUAAACUGUUGAUUAAAUUCUCACUAAAGAGUAGGAGUUUCCAUUGGGCUCAGCAGGUUAAGAAAUUGACAUAGUAUCAGUGAGGAGGUGGGUUUAAGUCCUACCCUCGCUCAGUGGGUAAAGGAUUCAGCAUUGCCACCAGCUGCGGGGUAGGUACCAGAUAUGUCUCAGAUCUGGUGUUGCUGUGGCUGUGGUGUAGGCCAGCAGCUGCAGCUCCUAUUCGACCACUAGCCCAGGAACUUCCAUAUGCUUCAGAUGAGCCAUAAAAAGAAAAAAUAAAAGAGUAAAUGAUGAGAAUCUGAAGGAUCAUGGGUGAAGGCUGGGUGUCACAAGCUAUAAGAAAUAAAGGUAUGAAUGAGCAGACUGUUGUUCUCCCCAAAAUUAUUUAUAUCUGGGGCUGUCCUUGCAUGUCUCAUAAAGGAAGUUCCCUGCACUGUUUGAUAUGAAGGUCCUUUCUCCACACCUAUGCACCAUCUCUUUUAGACAUACACAUCUGAGCUCACAAAUUACCCAUCACAAAGAAAUCACAUGCUGUUAAUAGGUCUCUUCACUGUGGCUCAAAGUACAGAAAAAAUGCCAGUCCCUGUGCUGAAACCAAAUUUCUGGAAUACUAACAGGAGGUCCCAAUAGCAGGAGACAUAUUACCUAGAGGUCA